rnacentral:lncRNA from 1 species
GGAUGAGUAUGGGGUGCACAAUGAACUGCUCACAGGAUGAGUAUGGGGGGUGCACAAUGAACUGCUCACAGGAUGAGUAUGGGGUGCACAAUGAACUGCUCGCAGGACGAGUAUGGAAUGCACAAUAAAAUGCUCGCAUAAUUAGUAUGGGGUGCAUAAUAAACAACCAAAAUGUGUGUAAUCCCCCUCUGGGAGUGUGUUCACUUGUCUACUUUAGUCCUUGAUCAUAUUGAGGGGUAAAGUAUAGUUGUCAGGUGGUCAAUGAGCACGUAUGGUGGCUUUAACUCCUUCCACAAUGGUCAAAUGUCAGUUUGUAUAUGGAACAAUAAACAUGUAACACAUUCUAUGCUUUAUUAAUUACUGUAUUGAUUGGAAACAUUAUUGCAAAAGGUUUUGUUUAAUUUUUAUUAAAGGUGUAUUGUGAUGAAAUGUAUUGAUCAGGUCUAUUUAGAAUUGAACAGGGUUCGUCAAAAUAAUUAGAAGCGGGCCCCUCCCCUUGUCUCCGCCCCACUGCUCACAGUCUUAGCACGCCAAAAUCUUCUCCAGGUCUGAAGUACUGUACAAUAAUUGUUUCUUUUAUUUACUGUUGCAUUUGUGCCCCAAUAUUAACAUAGAAUUGUGCAACAAAUACAAUGUCAGCCAUUUUAUUAUAUCAUUCAUAAAUCCUUGGUUGUUUAAUCUUCUUAUUCCAUAUAUUCUCUAAGGUUAUAACAUAUGAUAAGAGGCAGCAAACACACUAAAUACUUUACAUCAGUGUUCACACUAGAGAGAUUAUACAAUAUUCCACUAAUACCUAUGCAAGUGUUUGAAGCAGGUGAAGAGAAUGAAUUGAGAGAUAUUGCUAUAAUGUGUGAUAUAGUAAUAUUGUCAAUACCCUUCUACGAGAUUCAAAAGCCCCGAGGUGUGGAUGGAAUUCAAUGUAAAGUCGAUGACUUGGCAGAUAAGCUGUUUACCACUUGAAUUCCUUUUCAGAAAAUCUCUACCAAGGAAUAGUUCCUCUAGAUUGAAAAUGUGCAAAUGUCACCUAGUUUCAAAAAAAUGCAAAAAGAUCUCAGCAGAAAUGUACCAUCCAAUCUCUUUGACUUGAUACAUAUGCAAGCUUCUGGAGAGAAUCCUAAGGAAGGGAAUAAUUGACCAUCGCAACAUGAACAGUUUAGUAUAUUCAAUGCAACAUGGAUUUGUUAAAUAUAAAUCCUGCCUUACAAACCUGUUCACAUUUUUGGAAACUGUAACAUCUAUUCAGACAAAGGACUUCCAGUUGGUGUACUAAACAUGGACUUUGCCAAAGCUUUUGACAAGGUACCACAUAAGACUAGUAAGGAAAUUACUGUACAAACACAUGGAAUAAAUGGCAGGUACUAAAACGGAUAAAACAAAGAAAACAAAUGGUUGUCCUAAACAGAACUGAAUCUGACUGGAGAAUUGUGGUGAGAAGGGUACUACAAGUGUCCAUUUUGAGGAACCCUUUUUGUAAUAUACAUCAUUUACACAGGUGAGACUGUUACAAAGCACAUCAUCAAAUUUGCUGAUGACAUCUACCCCAAGAUCUACAUGAACUCUAUAAAUGGUUGGAAGACUGGCAAAUACAUUUUUAUGUAAAAAAUGCAAGACCUUGUAUUUUUUUUUUUUUACAUUAAAAAUAAAAAAUUACUACCUUGCAGCAGCUUGAAGAAAAGCACCUUGGAGUCAGAUUCCAUCAAUCACUUUGCCUGAAAAAAACAGGCAAAGCAAAUCCUAGGUAUAGUCAACUCUUUGACUUAAAGGAAAAGGUGUUUAUUCAACUGUAUAUCUCUGGCACACCAGAGAUUUGGACUAUUGUAUCCAAGUAUGGAGACCUCAUCUUCCAGUCCAUCCGCAUAAACAAAGGCCAAAGUCCAUUCCAUUCACCCACCAAAAUAGUGGGUGAAGAUUUAUAACGGUCAUAAACCGUUGUUGUUUAUGAAUAAAAAACGGUUUACACAUGACUCAUAACUGAUUACGUCCAAACACUUUCGGAACAAGUGCUUUGCUGACGACUUUUGUUCGAACCACAACACUGUAAGUGCUUCACCCACCUACUACAAAUACAAAUAAUUGCCAACAGAACCUGAACACAUAACCUAACUAGUGUUUAAAAUAUGCAAAAUAUGCUAAUAUAAAAUAUUACGUUAUAUUUGAGAAUUCCAUUUUGAAUGAACAGCAUGUUAAAAUUUAGGAAUGCAUCUUAGAGGUUGACCGCUGGAUGGAAUUGACUUGGUCUGAGCAUGGGUUGCAUUUUCAGAGACAGACAGCUGCUUUGGAGAAAGUUCAACACCGGGGCAACAAAACUCAUUCCAGAGCUAAGUCAACUUGCAUACCAGGAGUGGUUGAGGGCCACAGGACUAAACACUACAAACCAGACAUGACAGGGCUGAUCUCAUUGAAGCUUUUAAAAUACUGAACAAUUUUGAAAUAUUGCUCCAGACAACGUCUUUAAAAGGUCAAAUGUAACACAAGCAAGGAGCAAGUGUUUAAAUCUUAACAGGACACAAUGUAGGACUGAGAACAAAAGAUACUUUUUAUGGUAAUAAACCCAUGGACCUACCUACCUACCCACCGAAGCCAUAAAUGCCAAAACCCUGCUGAAUUUCAAAAUCCAACUCUAUAAAAUCACAAAGACAAAUUGGGGGACCCUUUGAAAAGCUGCCGGCUUCCUGUCCUUAUUGAGGGCAUUAGAAUGAUAUUGGCCGCCCUCGAGUAAAUAAAACUUUUAAUUAAAUAUUUACCAUAUAUGGGUACACCCCAUGUGGCUAGGAAACCUGUGCUUUACUUUCUGAAGCUCCCAACGAAGUGUCGUUUAACAGUCAUCAGGAGAAAACCUUCACACAAAUUGUACAUGCUGUAAAGAAAAUGAGUGAUGUGGUUGGGUGACAAUAUGAAUACAAGAAUACAUUAAUUUAUUGACAAAUUCAAAUCUGACUGACCAGCCCAAAAGUGUUGUCUCAAAAAGUAUCGUACAGUAUUCAUUAUAACUGUUUGAUAUAUUCCACAGGUUUCACAAAUAAUGUGAAAGUAGCAUUUCAUGUGUCAUUCCACACAGUCACUAAAGUUAUAGAAACUAUUGGACAAAAUUAAUUUAAAACAGCAAGUCAACUAUUUGCAAAGAUCAGGUCAACCUGUAAUGUUGUAUUGUAAUUACACCUGACUUAAUUAGGAAACUAAUAAUUUGUUACUAGCAGGGCUAUUCGUGUAAGGAGCCAUUUGUCUUGGGUUGAAAAAAACAUUACUUGUGGGUUGUCAGUGAAAAGUGAAUUUAUCAGAGAUUAAGACAGUGAAAAGUUUUUUAUUAGCAAGAGGUGACAAACUGCCAUUUUUCAAUGGGCAGCCGGUGCUACAUAGCCUUCCCGGUUCGGUGCCUUCUUUUGAUAUUUACUUACUUCUAUCGGCAGCCAACUUAAUUUAAACACUGUAAUGUAUAUGGUAUUAAAAUAAUAAAGCAACUUAAAAAUAAAAUAGAGUUGAUAAAGUUACGUAUAAUAGAAUAACUGCUUAUGUUAAGAUGGCUGCAAGUUGUCUAUAACUAUAAGCUGGGAAAGUAAUAUUUGUGACUGUUUUGUAAUAUUAGUAAAAAAGCUAUAUUUGUUAGUACAUUUAGUUAGUACAUAUAAAGCACAUUUAGUUCUGGCUUAUUGUUCAUGCAAGUGUCAUUCUUAAUGAGUUGCUUAUCUGAGUAACAACUUAAUGUGAAGCUAAUUGGGGCUAAAAAUACAAUCCACAAUUCAAAAUCCCGGUUAGUAAUAUGGAAUGAGUUUCUAGCAUAGUUUAUAGUGUUGCACAUUAACAUUUGCCUUUGCCGUUGUAUAUAAUUAACGAGUCCUUGAAUUGUCUUAUCACAGCCUAUGUCCUUGUUUACACUAAUUUUUAAAGCUAUAAAACUGAUUUGUCACAGCUGUAACAAAAUGUGUGGUUUUUUUAUCUUAUGUUUAUAUAUAAUAUCUGUGAAAAGAUAUUUCCAUAACAUAUUAUUCCUAUACUGUAUAUACUUGUACAGUUGGGUGUAAUGACCUUGUACAUGCAGAUAGAACUUAGUGAUGCAUUGUCGUAGAUUUUGUAGCAUUGAGUGACCUUGUGAUAUCUUUUUUUUUUAUUAUUAUAGAUUAUUUGAGCAUAGGACAAAAAUGGGUAAAUAUUUAACAAGUUUGUUUUCACAGAAUCUACAAAUCUUCAUUUAUAUUUCUUUUAAUAGUGUAAUGCCAGAUCUCUGGGGCCCAAAGAGCCAAUACUGCAUGCUUGUGCGUUCUCGGCUUGUUGCAGCAGUUGUGUAGAUACUGUAAAGCUAAACAUAUUGUACUGUUAAGUAUUGCAUUAAAGUUUGGUAUCAUGUUAUUUCAUAUCA